AAGAAACAUACUCAUCUACUUCUUGGAUGGCCUGAGGGUGAUCUAGUGUCACAUGGGGACUAAUUGGUCCGAGUGGCCAUUGAUCUUGGAUCCUAAAGGUCUGGUAAUUGGAGAGUUCUUACCGUUGAAUGACAGAUGAAGCCGAACACCACCAUGACAAUAGCAGGAAUUAGGAUGAGCCCGAAAACCAAC